rnacentral:tRNA from 1 species
GCCGGGGUGGCGAAACUGGCAGACGCACGGGACUUAAAAUCCCGAGUCGCGCAAGCGACGUGUGGGUUCGAUUCCCACCCCCGGCA